UACAGAGGGUGCGAGCGUUAAUCGGAAUUACUGGGCGUAAAGCGCGCGUAGGCGGCUUUGCAAGUCGGGUGUGAAAUCCCCAGGCUUAACCUGGGAACUGCAUUCGAGACUGCAUUGCUAGAGUAUGGGAGAGGGAAGUGGAAUUUCCGGUGUAGCGGUGAAAUGCGUAGAUAUCGGAAGGAACAUCAGUGGCGAAAGCGACUUCCUGGACCAAUACUGACGCUCAUGUGCGAAAGCCAGGGGAGCGAACGGG
rnacentral:rRNA from 1 species